CUACACUACGAAGCUCCGCCACUUCAAUACUGUAGUACAAAAUGUUGAGGUCGGAUUAAAAUAUAUUUCUCAUUUUAAUGAAAUUUAGAGAGACAUAGUUAGAGAGAGACAGACUUAGGAUCAACAGUUUUUCAUGUCCAGUACUGAGGAUUGUUCAUCUAUGUAAUUAAAGGUCUCUUGCGGCUAUCCACUGGCCUUGCUGAUUAAACACAAUAUAUUAACACUUGAUCAGUUGUUACGUAAAUUUCAAACAUCAAUUAUGAAAGUAAACACAAGAAAGAAAGAUUAAGAAUAUAUCAACCAGAAGAAUAACUUACCAUCUUUCUUGUAUUGCUAUAUAUGAUAUGAUGCUCGCUCUUUAUAUCUUUUUAGUUGGCUCUACUCCCUUUUGCUUCGUCCUGAUAUUUAUAGAGCAUUUACUGGACUCCAAAAUUUGUCACCAUAGUACUAUAGUAGGUGCGUUAACAAGAACAACUUUUUUACUUGAAUGUUAAAAACGUGUCUAUUGGAAAACCCUUUGUAAUAGGGCUCAUUCUAACAUUAUUGUUGAAACAGAUAAGGUUGUCUUUUUAGGACCAUUUGGAUAUUCUUGAAAAGAGAUGUGAAGUUGCACAUAUAUUAUUUAGUCACUAUUGUAUUUUUUAGGACCACAGGUAUCGUGAUGGCACUUAGUCUCUAAGACUAG
rnacentral:lncRNA from 1 species